UUAGCUGCUUCUUAUGAGAAUCUAACUAAUGCCUGAUGAUCUGUCAUUGCCUCCUAUCACCCCCAGAAAGACUGUCUAGUUGAAGGAAAACAAGCUCUGGGCUCCCACUGAUUCUACGUUAUGUUUAAAAGCUAAAGCCAAGCCAGGAAGAGGAAGACAAGAUGAGAAACCCCAAAUCAAGUGUUCUGGAAUGAACCCACAAUAUCUCCAAGGUAUGCCUGGAUAUUACUUCAUGGAUGAAGAAGCUUAGGCUUAAAGUCUCCUGCCAGUGCUUCCAAUCGCUGCACUGAACUGGGAACAAAUCAACAAGGGAAACCAGGAGAUGCAGUCCUUGAAGUUCAGCCUCCUGGCCUCAAGUAAGGCAGGGGAAGAGAAUACACAGAUCUGUGGAGAAGAGUGAGGAUGGUGGGAGCUGCCAAUAAAGAACUAUCAAAAAAGGAUGAUGCAACAGAAAAGCCGUCACCAGAUACCAGCACCUUAAUGUUGGACUUCUCAGCCUCUAGAACUGUAAGAAAUAAAUCCCUGUUCUUUAUAAAUUACCAGUCUCAGGUAUCCUGUUACAGCAGCACAAAACGGACUAUGAUGCAAAAUUGGUACGAAAGAGUAGCACCAUUGUUAUAACAAAUAACCUAAAAAUGAAAGCCACUCUGGAAGUGGGUAAUGGGUAGAAUAUGGAAGAAUUUAGAGGAGCAGGCUAGAAAAAGCCUAAAUUGCUGUGUAUUACUCCAGAAUGGUAAGAAAUAAGUCUCUGUUCUUUAUAAACUGCCCAGACUCACAGCACAAAACAAAUUAAGACAUUAAGAUUUGCCCCAUUCUUAGAAUUCAUUUCUUCCAUUUUCCUUUUAAUUAAAUCAAUGCCAACAUCUAAGCAGUGUGCACCUUUUGA